UGGGGAAUAUUGCACAAUGGGCGCAAGCCUGAUGCAGCCAUGCCGCGUGUGUGAAGAAGGCCUUCGGGUUGUAAAGCACUUUCAGCGAGGAGGAAGGUGGUGAGCUUAAUACGCUCAUCAAUUGACGUUACUCGCAGAAGAAGCACCGGCUAACUCCGUGCCAGCAGCCGCGGUAAUACGGAGGGUGCAAGCGUUAAUCGGAAUUACUGGGCGUAAAGCGCACGCAGGCGGUUUGUUAAGUCAGAUGUGAAAUCCCCGGGCUCAACCUGGGAACUGCGUUUGAAACUGGCAAGCUAGAGUCUCGUAGAGGGGGGUAGAAUUCCAGGUGUAGCGGUGAAAUGCGUAGAGAUCUGGAGGAAUACCGGUGGCGAAGGCGGCCCCCCUGGACGAAGACUGACGCUCAGGUGCGAAAGCGUGGGGCAGCAAACAGGAUUAGAUACCCUGGUAGUCCAGCGCUGUAAACGAUGUCGAUUUGGAGGUUGUGCCCUUGAGGCGUGGCUUCCGGAGCUAACGCGUUAAAUCGACCGCCUGGGGAGUACGGCCGCAAGGUU
rnacentral:rRNA from 1 species